AAGCUUGCAUGGGAAGGUGCAUGACGCUGCCAGCCGAUCACGUGCAUUUAUCAAAAGAGGCCUGUCCCUUGUACUCCGGGCAGGCUCACCCCUGCGAGCUUCCUCAAAUGUGGGAAACUCAACUGCACAAUGUUGUGGAAAUGGGGGACUGUGUUCUCGCCUUCCUUGU